AAGAAGCAGGCUCCCAGUGGAGGAGCCUGACGCGGGGCUCCAUCCCAGAUCGCCGGGACCACGCCCUGAGCCGAAGGCAGACGCUCAACGACUGAGCCACCCAGGUGCCCCGUGAAAUGUAGGUAUUAAUGCCUCUACUCUACAGAUGAGGAAACUGAAUGAGGCUCAGGGAGAUUGAAUCACUUGCCCAAGCUCACAUAGCUGAUAAGUGACAGAGCCAGGAUUUGAAACCACAUGAGUCUAGCUAGAAAGCCAGCAUGAUUUUUGCCUUCCCAAUGGUCUCUGAGCCUACCCCAGGCCCUGGCACAAAUUUCUCACCUGAACUGAUGUGCAGAAAGAGAAAGGUGGACAAGAGAAGGGAAGAUGAAUCCCAGUCUUCCUAAUGAUAUUGACUUAGGCUUUCUUUUGCCAAAGCCCUUUCCCACCCCUUUAAUCCUCCCCAUCACCCCUGACCCCUUGUUUCAGAAGCCUGGAAUCUCCCCCAGUUUGCAGCCCCCUGCCAACUACAGCUUCCCAGAAGGGUGGCACAGUGCCUGCACUUCAGACAGGAGACAUCAAAUUGCAGAACCAGAGGGGCCUCUGGAGGUCACCUCCUCUAGCUGUCUCUGCUCACAUAUAGGUGCAGAGGGCAGGCACCCAUGAUGACAGCCCCCAGGCAUGCACAGUGCUGGGGAAAUCUGUCCGUUUGUUGGGGAGGCAACUGUUGUCGUAGGAGCUACCAGAUCUUAGAGGUGUUGCCUGAUAUCAUAGGAGGUGAGUGCCCAAUCAUGUAAUGAGGGGUCCUGCUCUGUGACCCAGAGCGGUGAUUCUUAUAUCCCCCAUCCUCUGAGAGUGGCUUAGUUAUUUAUAUAUGUGUGUGUGCAUUUGUACAGGAACUGGUGUGCACACUUGUGUGCAAGCCAGGACAGGCCUGCCCUGUGCAUUUCCCUGAGGAUAUGUGUGUGUGACACGUUGGUUAUCUGGUUGUCUGGGCCCUCACAAAGGCAAGUAACUUGUAUAUUUUUUCAUCCAUGGGCUUGUGGCUGGAGUUCACCCAGGACUGAAAGGGCCUGGCCCCAGAGUUAAGUUCAGAGCUCAGCUCCCCACCUCUUCUUGCCUGUCCCUAGCUCCCUGCCUCUUCCCCACCUCCUCUCAUGCUGGGCAGAAUGCCCUCAGCCUGUGCCGGCUGGCACACAUGCCACAUGGUGCCUGGCGCGCGUCUGGGCAAGGAUGACGCCCCCAGGACCGGCUGGGAUACUAAGCCACCCGCUGCCUCCCCCAUCUCCAGAACGGAGCGUCCCCAUCCCGUCCCCUUUCUCAGCCAGGGACUCGGGGAGCAGGCGGGGACACAGCACAGACAGAUACAAACACACAGAUGCGCCCAGAGACUCCCACAGGCGUGUGCCCCAGAGAGGCACAGGCAUUCACACAGCCUUGGACACACUCACACAUGCACAUUCACACACCCAAAGAAACUCGUGGGCACUCACCACUUGCACAGAUCUCAGCCUGAAGUAAACACUCCGGUUCUCGCCCAGCCUUUUAGACAAACGCACCCUAUGUCUCUGUCCGUGGUGCUGAAACCAGACAUUUCUCCUUACCCAAGGACAAGACAGGGAAGAGAUGAGAGGAGACCUGGGAUGGGUGGUCGAAGACAGAAGGAAUGGAGGAGAGAGAAGGGACAAGAGGGAGAGACUCAUUGAUAAAGGAGAGAGAGAGGGCGAGAGAGAGAAUUGAAAAGAUACCAGGGUAACCAAGGAGUGUCCAGACACUGGGCCUGGGAGAGGUGGGUGAGGAUGGAAGGUGACCUCAGACCCCAUCCCUGCUUAAAUGCAGACUCAGGCUCAAGUAUUUAGCCAUCUUUGUCCUUCAGGGCCAAUUACAGGAAGAGUUUGGUAAGGGUACCGUGACAGGUGAGGGACCCUGGAUGUGUGGUUUCUGUGACCCCCAGGUGCCCCUUUCCAGGUGCCUCCUUGCCUUAGAAGACCUCAAAAUAGUAGGGGAAGGAGACAGAUACCAAGAAAGUUCUAUCAUAACCCCACAAAAAGCUUCCCACCUGAUUUCUUAUCCCAAUUUGUGUUGGGCAAGUGGACAGCAGAGUUGAUCUGGAUUUGUUCUGAGGAUUGUAGGGAUUUAGUGACUGCUUAAUGCUUAUCCACAAGAUUGGAUUAUGGGUUCCUAUCUCCCUCUCUUGAGAUAAAAACUUCUCUCUGGUGGGAUUGCCUAGUAGGGAUGCUCUCCUACCAGCAGCCUCUUCGUUGUGAAAUUUAUAGAAUAUAAGGAAUGCCCACUUUCGUGGGUGGGGGGGAGGAUUUUCAAGGACCAAAGGACUUAUUACAUAAUAACUAGGCAAGAGGGGAUGAAGGAAAAGAUGAGGAAGGAAAAAAGAGGAGAAGGGGGAGAAAGGAUGUGUGAAGAUGGAUGAAAGAAGAAAGGGAAGAGGAAAGAGAUUGGAGGAAGAGGAAAGGGGGAGAAUGGAGGUGCAGAUGACAGAAACGAGAGGGCAGUCUGUCACCCAGACAGACUCCAGUAUCCAGGGAAAGGGCAGGGGAAAUAUCCAGGUGGAGCAAAUUGCUCCUCAGGGGCCCAGAUUAGACUGGAAGUCCAGGCUGGUCCUGCAGCUGUUCACAAUGGCAUUCUCCACCCUGAGCUUCAGGCAGAGAGACCCCACGGGCCAAGACUACAGAUGUGAGGAGCAAUUGCCCUAACACAGAAGGUGGGAUCAAACGCAGUCAAGUCUGUGAGUGGGUUUCCUCAUGUGUGGGAUGGGGACAGUGAGUGCCUGCUUGGGGGUGUUUCUACCUAUUUGCAUGUGAGUGGUGGCAGGAAGAGAGAGCCACGUGUAUGUGCAUUCACAGGAGAGAAGGUAUUGGGUUGAUUGAGCGUAAGGAACAAGGAGAGGGAGAAGAGAGGCAGGAGAAAAGUGAGUGAAAAAGAAAGGAUAACGUUCUUAAAAUUUUUUGGACCUCUUAAUCAUUCUCUUAUUCCUACCAAGAGAGAAGCCAGGCCUAGGAUACAAGUUGGACAUAUGUGCCCCAGUGUCCUUGCCUGUAGUGUAAGUAUGACGACAGUCCCAACCUCAUAGAGUGGUUGAGAUAAUUAUUAGCUUGUGUAUAAUGCUUAAUUUAAGUCAGUUAUGGAUACAUAAUAAGUUCCACAUGUAAGUUAGUUUCCAUUGUUAUUGUUGUCAGAUCUUGGUCUUGCACUGGAAUCAGCAGGGAAAUUUUUCUUCAUGUUUAACUAGACCUUCCUGCUACAGACUCGGGUCCAACCUGUGGGUCUUCUUUUGGGCACCAUGGAGAACGGUGAUUUCCCAGCUCUUCAAAUUUACUCCUGAAGACAGAGAGAGCCAGCAGAUUUUCUGGGGUACAGAGGGAACCCCCAUGGUAAGGAAAGUGACAGGGUCUAAGGAACAAGAUACCCACCAAAGACCAUCAAGGAUGUUUUCCUGGAUUCCUGAAAAAGCUGGAUCCUGGACCUGCAUCAGUGCCUCCCUGCCCAGACUAGAGUCUCAGCACUCCACCCUGUUCCGUGCUAGUGCCCCCGCCCCACUCAAGCCUGUACAGGUGUGAACAUAUGGGUCAUUUCUUCCCGAUCGCUCUUCCAACCCCAAUCCCUUCCCCCUUUUUUACCUACCCUUCUGCUCUUUUCUUCUAAGGAAUCUAGGUAGGAAGAAAGAAAUUCCCUUACUACUUAGAGGGGUGGGAUUACCCCACCCUGCACAGGCAAAAUAGACGGUCUCAAUCUGGAGGUCAAGGAAGCAUGUGGGGACUGGCACAAGGAGGGCUGAGGGGUGGCAGGGCAGCCCCCAUGUCCUCCCAUUCCCCCCAGCUCCUGUCUCAUCACUGUCACCAUUCAAUCAUAGCAGAUGGGCUGCAGCUGUGAGCGCCAGCCCGGCACACAGGCUGGUCCCUGCCACUUGGGAGAGAAGGAAGAGAAAGGGAGGGAGGGAAGGAGGAGGAAUGAAGGGAGGAGGGAGAGAGGAAAGGAAGGAAAAGAAGGAGGAGGAAAAGGAAGAGAGUGGAGGAGGAGAGAGAUAGCUUGAAGAGAAAAGGACUUGGUACCUUUAUCCCUCUCUCUUCCCAGCAGGAGAGCAGAGGCCAGGGCUGGGCUCACAAGCUGGGCAGUGCCAGGCGAGAUGGGCAUAUGCCCUUGAUUACUACCAGGACCGCAGGCCAAGCCUCCGCAGCCGCCACGGCCUCAUAAAUCAGUUUUUAAGUAGCAACCACAUGGACAUUUCCCAGCUGAGAGGCCUGGCCUCUGUCGGCCCAGCUAGGGCAGCCCUGGUGCAGGGGCAGGUGCCAGGCCAGGGCAUGGGAAAGAGAGAGGUGGUCAUCAAGGCUUGGUGGGAAGUGGGUUGGAGCUUGUUCAGGGAAAGUCUGGGGGCAGGGUCUCCUGCCGAAAGGGAGUAGGUGAGAAGGUGACAAGUUGCUGGCAGUGGGUCCAGAGCCCCCUGUUGGGACUCCUAGACCCUGUCCUGGUUUCCCCUGGGGAAACUGCUUACAGACAAGAGGAUGGUAUUGUUAUUGGAACUCCCUCCCACCAGAUGCCCCUCCCAUUUAGAAUAGAGUCUGUAUGAGUGUGAGGGCAGUGUGUGGGCUUGUGCACUUGGGUAUCUGAAUGUGCUCACUGCUCCUGAUGGGUAGGAAGAUAUCUCUCCAAUAUCUAGCCCAAGCCCAGCAGAGACAAGCAUCUAGUAAGAUAGCUUGAAUGAAUAAAUGAUCAAGUUCGAAGGGGGCCAGUUAUGUGUGUUCACAGGAACGGGAGGAUUUAUAUCUGAGCAUGUAUGAUGGCCAAGUCUAUGUGCAUGUAUAUAUAUGUGGGGGGGUGUCUGUGGGUGCUCUGGGGAGAUCUAUUCCGACAGACAUCCCUCCACACCGUCCCUUUCAGCCUUCCCCUGAGCCCUGAUUCUCCCUUUCUGAGGACCCACCAGUAAGACAGCAGUUCCCGAAUUCCGCUCCCCCCAGCCUGAUCCCUUGCUUAGCACCCCCUUCUUCAGGCCAGGGUUGGCGGUUGGGGGUAGGGGCACGGGGAGUGCGGGAGUCCCGCCCCUGGAACCGCGGGCAGAGCGGGCGGGGUGGGGGCGCCCAGCCUUCUUGCGCCCAGUGUCUCCUCCCUGGGUGAACAGAUGUCUCGGAAUUUUAGAUGUGCUCUCCGCCCCUCCUCGCAAUAACUACCCCCACCCCCAGCUGGCACUGGCUGUGGCGUAGCGCCCUCCCCUCCCCCACCUCGGAUAGCAGAACCCGCUGAUGGAUCGGGGAGAGCCCCGGAGGCCUGGGCCAAGAGGCGGGGGAGGCCAGCCGGUUCGCGGCAACGGGCUGGGCCGAAUCCCGGAGGUUUCUAGUGAGGAGAGAACCGGGUCGGCGCUGCCCCCGCCUCUUGCCUUCUUUUCUCGUUCCUUCCCAUCUUCCGCAUCUCCUCAUCCCUAUCUCUCCGUCCGCAAUCCCUGGUCUCUCUGUCCCUCUCUCUCUCUGCCCCACCUCACAACCCAUCAUCCCGCCAACCGCGUCUAUGCAAACCCUCCACACACAGCCUCACGCUUCGCGACAGAAACUCCUUCUGGCAACUUCGGCGGAAUUCUUCCCUCCAGAGACCCCUUUCCCUGCAUUCCGUGAGCCACCCCACCCCCAACUGGCCGCCUGCCUGCCCUCUGUGGAAACCCAGAGUUAAUCCGGAAAACAGGAGGGAGGGCAGAAGGAGAGUGGGGAUCGAGAUUAGGGAGGCCAAGGAUACCCGGAUUGGCCAGGGUUUGAGAGACACCCAAAUUUUCUAAUCACUGCUAAUUAAGGAACAAUCCAAUUCCGUGGACCCCCAACUCGGAGAAGGGGGCGGGACCCGCCGAGGGCAGGAGGGGGCCUUGGCAGGGCUUGGAAGCCGGGGGUGGUGCCAGGCACCCUCCCCCACCCUCCCCCCACCCGCCAGCAUUCCGAGGUAACAGGCAUUUGUUACCCAGCUCGUGCCAGGAGCGAUUGGCAGGUUCGAGUAGGCACAGUCAUUCCGCACACAGAUGUCCCUGCGUUCGCUCUUCUGAUAUGAAUUCUGUCAGCUCCGAAUCCGAGGGAGAUGAGCAGACAGCCCCACAGACAGUUACAGACAGACAGAGCAAUUGUCUGGAGGACACAGAACUCCACAGAUAUUUAUUUUUCUUUUCUGAAAAAAAAAAUGAAAGAAAAUUAAGAAAGACAUGCACUAAUUUGGGGGGACCCCUCUGAGCUCCUGAGAGUGGCCCUCACUCUUUCGAUCCUCCCCCGGUUGCAUGCCCACACUUUUCCAGUCUCCCCCAGGGCCCCGGAAAUCAUCCCUGAACUUCAAAUUUGAGUCGUUGCAACCAGAACCACAGAAGUCUGGGAGGUCUGCUUCCUCACAUAGGACCCAGAAUCCCCGAAUCCCUACACGUUCUAGAAUACCACCAACCUGGUGCAGGUUCCAACAUUCUAGAAUCUCAGAAAGUAGAAAUUCCAGAACUCCCGCUCCUGUGCAAAUUGUGCCCAGUGCCCAAUUAUUGUAUCCCCCUCUCCAUUAGAGAGGGGGAAGUGGGUGCUGUCCCAUGUACUGGAAUGGAGGGCCCCACAUCUCCUGGACCUCACCAGCUGCCCCCAGCCUUGGCAACCAGCCAAAAACGCAGCUUGCCCUUUGGAUUGGGAAUGCAGAAAGGUCAAGCCCCCUGACUCCUACCCCUUUCUGGCACUCCCCCCCAGCUCCAGUUCCUAUGCUGACCCUCCACACCUGACCUGGCCAUUCUGCCUCUGCCCGCCCCAGCAGCUGUGGGAGAGAGCUGGUUGGUCACUGGGCAUCUGUGAAAAGGCUGGGCAUGAAGAGCCGCUGGGGUUUGGUUCUCCCUGGGCAGCCCGUGCUGGUGGAAGAAGGGGAAGGCAAAGGGGCCAAAGUAACUCACUGACAUCAGAGGAGAGGGGCACAGAGGGAUUGGGGUUGUGGUUUGUUGGGUUGUGUUUUUUUAAUCUUUCUCUCUUUUUUUUUUUUUUAAAGAAAAAGCCCCCAUCCUGUGUCAUCAUUUUUAUGGGAUCUGCAAUUCUGGCAAAAAUCUGUCUUUAAUUUAGCUGUCCAUAUAAAAAUCCUCACUGUAUAAUAAUGAACAGAUGCCAUGGAAUUUAAGCUGGAGCCUCGGCUCCUCCCCGCCUUCCCCCCGCGCCUGGCACCGGGCACCGGGCACGGGCUGAGUGGCACAGGCUGGCACCAACACGGGAGCAAAGGGUGGGCAGGGGGCGACCUGGGCUCAGCGCCAGGGCACUGGGGUGGUGAAGGGGUGUCCAGGCGCUGGGCUUGGCCAGGCGGGAGCUUUUCCGUGGUGGCACCCAGGGAGAAGUGUCUGAGGGAUAUUUCUUUUUCUACAAAAUGAUCAGUAGUUAAGGAUUUUGGUUUGGUUUAGCUUAGGGGCUUUGUGGUCCUUCUCAGGUUUUUUAAAAAAGCACUGCCCUCCCCCCAACAUAAAUCCAAAUGUUUUCGAAGUUUUAAUUGAGUUGUGUUGAACCCUUCCCCUGCGCGGCGCCCCCGCCUUGGCCUCGGAGCCCAGCCGAGCGCCGAGUUCGCUGCAAGCGGGAUCCGUACCGCUUCCCGCCGGCCCGAAGCCUCCGAGGUAUCCCGGGCGCCGGCGCCUCCGGAGGCUCCUGGGCAGCUCCCGCGGGACAGGAGUACCCUGUUGCCCUCCAGGAGUGAGGCCCGAUGUGGCAACUGAUUGUCGAGCGGGAGAGAAGGAGGCAAGAGAGAAAGCCCCACUUGCCCCAUACCAAUUCUAUCGCUUUUCCCGAGGGGAAAGAGAAAACUAUGCGAGUCCGGUGUCCUCCACUGCCUCCGCCUGCGGUCGAGAAAGCAGGCAUCGGCUCCGGAUUGAGAGGUUGGUUCUGAGCCCCCCACCCCCACCCCUUGCCUUUAAUGCGACUCUGGCGAGAACAGAUGUCCCAAGCCGGGCGGACUGCCCAGACCCCGCCCAGCUGUGCCCUUGGCGAAGACUUGGCUGAGGGUAGGAACUGGCACGCGGGUCCCCAAAGGGGCUUGGGGGCUCCUCGGUCCUGGCGGGAACUGACCUGGCAGCCUUGGCCUCCUGGCCAGCGCAGCCUCGGGCGGGAGGCAGAAGCGCCCCGGAAAGACCGGCUCCUAAUUCAAUUAAUUCCAAAAAGAGGAAUGAGACGAAUACCGAGGUGGAGAGAAGCGGAGAGAAAGGUUUGAAUGACCGAACACCAGGCACACACUCCGUGUAUGGAACCCUGCAGCCCCAAUCUGCUUGGGGAGUCGGCACUGCGCUCCUGCGCUGGAACCAGCCCCCGAGUUUCCAGUGCCAGAGCCACACCCGGGUGCACAUCUGGGCAUCAUCUCCACCCAACGCAGCACCCCAGCUUUCUUGGCACAGCCAGUAUCCAUGGGUUCCCUUGUCCUUUCCUCUGUGAGCACCCCAGGUUCUCCUCACACGGGGUGGGGGGGGCUAAGCUCUCCCCAGUCCCUGGCAUCUCCCCCUGAGAAACUGGUUGUCUUCCUGCCUGUGAGCCCAGCCUUCCUCUCAGCCUUCUCCUGUUGGCCCUCCCCGGGCAGGCUGCUCCUAUUCCAGUGCUUUAAUAUGGAGAAAGUUUCAGAGGACAGACCAGCCCUUCCCAGGUCUGUGUCCUUUCUUACCACUUUUCACCCAGGACAACAUUUUCUGGAAUUUUUAAAGAUGCAGGACAGAGAGGCAAGAGGCUGAUUCAGGAUUCGGGAGGGGAGCAGGGUUUCCAGGUUUCUCAAAGUCCAGGUCCUCACCUCCCCUCUGGUCUGUGGCCAGUGCCUUCACGCCCCAGCCUUAAAGAAAGAAAAGUGUCAAUGUCUUGGGCUGUGAGCUGGGAAGCCUGUUGUGACAGCUGAGACCCAUCUGCCCCCUUCCACAUCUCACAAAAAACAGCUUUCUCCUUUGAGCACAUACAAACAGGUCAAGUGCAGAGUCCUGGUUUGACCCCUGCUGUAACAUGAGGAGCCUGGGAGUGGAGGUGGACACCAAGGCUGGUCAGGCCUGGCCCAUGCUGUCCCUUUCUUCCCACCUCCCUUAAGAACUAAGCUCUGGAAUCUAGAAUUAUCCCUCAGUCUCAAUGUCCUCUCAAAUCAACAGAUUUCUCCAAGGAGCAGGCAACUUCAAGUUUAAGAUUCUUGGGAAGAGGAGAAGGCAAAGGAAGGUCAUCCAAGAGGGAAUGAAAUAUCUAAUCUCUGUGGACGUCCCCAUAAAACAGACAGAUCGAGAAGCAAACACAACCUGAUGGAGUCCAGGGAGUGUCAGGCGUUUCCUGUUGCUGACUCCCAUGGGGUUUAGUUUCCCUGGACUGUACUCAGUGGUUUAUUGGCUGUCCCACUAGGUGAUGAAAUCAGAGCUGGGGGUUCACUGGGCAUCAGGGAUUCAUGAUCCAGAUUAUAUCUGGUUAAACAGAGAGGAGAAAAGCAGCAAGGAUUUUCCUCCCUUUCCCCCAAUGGACAAAUGGCCUGCACUCAGAAACAUCUCUGUUUCCCUGUCAUUUCCAAAUGUUUGACUUCGGUUGGGGGUGGGAAAAUCAAGGGGAAGACACCCUCCUGAUCGAUCCCAGCUGCAGCCUUCAGGUUCCACAAUCCAGGGGUUGAGCUGAAACUGCCUGGUGCACGCUUGGAGAUCCUGCUGCUCAAGGUAGGGCAAGGAGGGCAUCCUCUCUACGACUUCUCUCCUUGCCCCCUCCCUCCCACUGCUCUGGCCCCUUUUAGCUUUCUACCCCCCCCCCCACACACACCUCCUUCUGUUCCUGGAGCUUCUCUGUGUGUGUGCAUGCAAGCAGGAGAGCCAGCAAGAGGAAACGACCUGCAAGGGGGAGUUUGGGGCCGCGUGUCCUCGCGCAUCUUCUUCUCCUGCUCAUCUCACCAUCUCACCAGGGAAGCUGAGUGUCGGGGAGGGGGGUGAUGGUAGGCUAGAGCACAGCCAGAGUGCAGGGAGUGUGGGGGAAGGGUCAGGAAUUGGGAAAGGGUUAGCUCUGGUCGCCGCUGGAAUUCACAGGAAGCGGAGGUGCUCCGGAUCCCCGCCCCAAAAGGGGACCGGGUACCCCCACCCGCCCAAGGUGACCACAGACGCUGUGGCCCUAGAGUCAUCAACAUCUUUCCAAAGGAUCUGGAAUCUAGCUUCAAAAACCGAAUCGUGCAGCGUGGAGUAGCCGGAAGAGUGAAGCGUAGGAGUCUGUGGUCUGGCCAGGGAAGCCACGUGGAGGGGUCUUUUGCUUCCGGCCCCAAGCCACCUGGAUGCUACCCAGCCCAGGACUUCAGAGCAGGUUCUGGGAAACAGACUGAGUGGGAGAGAAGCCCAAUUAACCUUGUUUCCAGGGCAGGAUAAGACUCAGGCCUCGGGAUGGGUGCCGAGUUCCUUUUCUCUCUAGUUGUCCCUGCCAGGCCUGUCCCAUGCCAUGAGCAGACCAGACUCUAGAUUUGAGUCUGGGAUUUGAGCCUAGCUUCAUACACCAUGCAAGAAGUGGGGGAGAAAGGUGGGUAAAGAAUAGGGAUGAUUCAGAGAUUUAUGAAAUUCUCUUAGACCACCGAGAGAGGUGAAUCCUGGGUGGAAGGGCCCAGUUCUUAAUCUCACUUUAGAGAUAUGAGCCUAUAAGAAUUCUAGAAUGAAACUGUGAGAAGAUUCCAGUGAAAUUCUCCGAAAACUAUGGAAGAAUUCUGCCCAGAAUUCUGUUCGGGCGUCGGAAAGGGCCUCUCUCUGUGUGGCGCUCCCUGGGGCCGGGCAUCAGCAGCCUCUCUCUGCAGCCGGAAGGCACGAGAUGGACGAGAGUCAGCACCUGGGAGCGGAUAGCUCCCAGCCCCCAGCGUCGGUUCACCUGCGGCAGUCCUCCGGUGGAGGAGAGAGGGCAUCGUCUCCACUGGUGAGACAGAGUGUUUGGAAGUGGUCAUUUAAGGGUGAUGCCGAGCUGAAGGUCAGACAGUAUAAUCCGAUCUACCCUUUCACAUUUAAGGCUUCCUUCUUCAACUACCUUCUCCUUUCCAGAUUUUGUUAGGGCGCUCUCAUUUGGGGGCCUUGGAUCCAAUCUUUAAAAGCCUUAGUAUCCCUGACCGCAAGCUCAGCCCCAACAGUACACUUCCCCCUCCUUCAGCCCUAAAACAAGCAACAGUGUUUGUGUGUGUGUUUAAUAUAAUUUAAGUAAGCAGCGUCAGAAACAGCCCAGUCUCUGUACUCCUAACCAUGUUCAGGCUUUGGGAUGGUGGUUUUUGGGAUUUAGACGCCCCCCUCCAAAUAUUCCAGGGGUCCAGUUGGCACUGGUGUCUAAGGGAGGGUCCCUUCAGGGAAGUCAGUUCAGAGAUGCCUGUGCCCCUGAGGCUCAGAGAAAAGAGAAUUGUGAGGCUGUCUUGUGAGAUGGGAAGGCAGCCUGGGCAGAACAAGGGCUUAGGUGGUGUCCUUCUUCCACCUCCCUAGACUGAGGGCUUCCCUCUGUCUGGAGCUGCACCAGGCAAGAAGGAGGCUAUCCCCAUGUGGACCAGAGGUUUCCUGCUGUCCUGUCAGGGGAAACUCAUGGCCAAGUCAAACUCCAUUCUUCCAGAACCCCAGCUCAAUCCCCCAAAUGAAAUGAGGCCACCUUGCGAAACCGGGUCCGGCUUUGCAUCUCAUUUACAUAAAUAUUUAUUAAUCGUCAUUAAACUGAACAGAAACACGCAAUGCACUUCGGGUGUCCGACGGGAGUUUCAUCUUCGCUACAAGAGGAAGGUAAAAUUGCGUGUGAGUGUGCGGGUAAGUGUGUGGGUGUGUCGCCUGUGGGUUUGCAUUUUUGCAUCGUGUGUUUGGAUGCCUGAUCUGCCUCCGGUGGCGAGAGGUUCUCCUUUUGCCCCUUUCUCUGGGAAACUUCCAGAAGGAGCCCUCAGCCCUCUCCCUGCCCACCUGCUAACCAGAGCCAAGAGGAAGCCUCAGACAAAAAAAAACCUCUCCAGCCACCGGAAAACGCCGGGCGCCUGGCGCCCAACGAGGCACAUUCGGGCAGGGGCGGGGCUGGCCCUAGGUCUUGGUCUCCACCCUCAACCCGGGAUGAGGAUUGCCUGCGAGGAGCGAGGGUUCGGCGAGCUCUCCUCCCUCUGCCCCCGGACGCCCGCGCCGGGCCUGCGUGCGCGUGCGGUGUGGUGUGCGUGUGUGUGUCUCUCAUGCAAACCCUCCCUCCCCAAACCGACCCCCCCAACAGUUUGCCAUUCCAUACAAAUUUGGAAACAGAUUUUUAAAAAACAGCAUGACGCACAAUGGGGACGGGGCGGGGGAGGGCAGUGGCACUGGGGCCCCAAAUCUCCGAGUCACUGAUUGUAAGAACCUGGGGAGGGGAGGGGGCGGCACCGGCCCCCACUUC